AGGAAGACAUGGCCCAGUGAAACCCUAUCCACAUUCCCCCAUUCUGCCGCCGCCUCUCGCGCAGUCGCUCUCCCCUCGCCGCCCCCUCGCCGCCGCCUCUCUCCCGUGCUCGUCUGCAUCAAGCACGGGUAUCGCCCUCCUCUAUCGCCCUCCCAUUCAGCAGCAUUGCCAUCAACCGCUCAUCCAUCUUCUGCUUCGCCUAGAUCGGCCGCCACCCACGAGACAGGCGGUGUCGAUUUGGGUGCCGCGUCUAGCUUUCACCGAGAUGAUGGCUAAGGGCAAUGACACCACUGUUAUUUUCCUUGUUUCUUCCCCAUCUCUAGCGGCUACCUUGGCACCGGCUGGUCUACAUCGACUCGGGCGAGACCUACAGACCGGCGGGGAUGAUUCGACGUAGGCGACUUCUUGGCCGACGGGAUGCAACACAUGGUGGCGGUCGCAGCAGGCCGGCAUCAGCGAGUCGAUCUAGCCGACCUUCAAGGAGAGCGGGUCAAAGAGGGCAAGAUGUGGAGCUAAGAGAUGGCCGCACAGCAGCAGAGUGACAUUGUCAAGGUAGUUAUCAACGUACAUCCAACAUUAAGGCUCCUCCUCAGCUCCAGCCAAAGAGAUACAAUGAUAUCUUCUACCUGAUUGUAGAAGUGUAGAUUGACUGCCAUAAUGUUUCAGUUCUUAUGUUUGUCGUGUGAUCUCCAUCUCUCCAGCUAUGGAGCUAACUGAAUAAUGGGGAAAGUGACUUUACCUAUGGUUUUCUUAAAUGUGUUUUAAAACGGAGCAGAGGAAGCGAUCUCACAUGUCACUGGCGAGAUAAUUGUUUCAUCAUCAGAAUCGAGGUGGAUCUACGCAAAUCGGAGUAUCUGGUAAAAAAGAACAAUAGAAUUGAGUUGAUGGCAAUGUUGGGAGUAUUUGGAGCAGUUAUAAAGUCAUUCAGUCCCAGUAGGG